UUCGAUCGAAGAAUCAUAGGAAACCUUGGGCCGGAUACUUUUGACUACCUAAUUAAUAACGAAGUUGUCCAGCUAUUUACCUUACCAAACCAUGAGAGAACAAGUGUUCAUAACCGAAAUAAUUGGCUUUAUCAUUUAGAUGAACACCACAUUGCUCCACCAUCACUUCCUGAGACACCGCCUAUUUAUGAGUAUUUAGAUGACCUUAUCUCUGUUGAUGAAUCUGAC
rnacentral:lncRNA from 1 species